rnacentral:tRNA from 1 species
GCCUGGGUGGCUCAGCGGUUGAGCAUCUGCCUUCAGCUCAGGGCAUGAUCCUGGGGUCCUGGGAUCGAGUCCCACAUCAGGCU